AGUGCCUGAGCCCGGUAGAGUGGCAUCUGGUUGGUGGCGGGCGUCACAUAUCAGCCAGGGACAAAGCAGCUCCUUGUUUACCCUGGCAUGGCUUUUGGUCUGUGUCCACGCCUGGUUCAUGUCCUGGACACAUGG